GUCCCGGUGGCGCAGUGGGUAACGCAUCUGUCUAGCAAGCAGGAGAUCCCGGGUUCGAAUCCCGUUCGGGCACA